rnacentral:ncRNA from 1 species
ACAGUUUGUACGGAGCCUUUGCCAAAUGAUUUUUCACCAAUGACAACGGCGCGAUGAUGAUCUUGUAAGGCGCCGGCCACAAUUUCGGAAGCAGAAGCGGAACCUUCGUUAAUCAAAACGACAAUCGGUAGCCCUUUGGCAAUAUCUCCCUUGGUUGCCGAAAAUUUAACCGUAUCUUCUAUAUUGCGCGAACGAGUGGAAACAAUUUCGCCUUGUUCCAAAAAUAAAUCAGAAACGCUGACGGCUUGAUCUAAUAAUCCUCCGGGGUUGUUUCG